rnacentral:miRNA from 1 species
CCAACUCCUCCCAUUCC